rnacentral:pre_miRNA from 1 species
AGGGGGAGGCCAGAUCCUGGGCUGUGUCCCGGUGCCCAGUGCUUCUGGGCUUGUGCUGUUGCAUUUGUGCUCCCAAGCAGCCCCCU